rnacentral:rRNA from 1 species
GGUACGCGAGCUGGGUUCAGAACGUCGUGAGACAGUUCGGUCCCUAUCUGUUGUGGUCGUUGGAGACUUGAGAGGAGCUGUCCUUAGUACGAGAGGACCGGGAUGGACGGACCUCUGGUGUUCCAGUUGUCGCGCCAGCGGCAAUGCUGGGUAGCUAUGUCCGGACGGGAUAACCGCUGAAAGCAUCUAAGCGGGAAGCCCACCUCAAGAUUAGGUCUCCCUCACGCUUAAGCGUGACUGAAGAUCAGUGGUAGACUACCACAUUGAUAGGCUGGGUGUGUAAGUUCGGUGACGGAUUGAGCUAACCAGUACUAAUAGAUCGUGAGCCUUGACCUC